ACAGAAAAUGGGAGACAACUCUGUCUCCUGCGUUCAGAAGAACAUUGAGAUAUAGCAAAAAUCAAUGGCCGAGAUAUCAUUUCGGUCGUCAUCUUUUUUUAUUGGCGAUUCGAUUGUUACUUGUCCACAU